rnacentral:tRNA from 1 species
GAUCCAGCAUGGCAUAGUGGCAUGAGUACUGAACUAUGAAUCUGGAGACCAGGGUUCAAUUCCCAGCUGGGCCA